CAGUCGCCGCGGUAAUACGAACCGUGCGAACGUUAUUCGGAAUCACUGGGCUUAAAGCGCGUGUAGGCGGGCCGGCACGUCGGUCGUUGAAAUCCCCCGGCUCAACCGGGGAAGUGGCGCCGAUACGACCGGCCUGGAGGAACGUAGGGGGAGCUGGAACUUCCGGUGGAGCGGUGAAAUGCGUUGAGAUCGGAAGGAACGCCCGUGGCGAAAGCGAGCUCCUGGACGUUUUCUGACGCUGAGACGCGAAAGCCAGGGGAGCGAACGGGAUUAGAUACCCGUGUAGUCCCUGUCUCUUAUA
rnacentral:rRNA from 1 species